rnacentral:rRNA from 1 species
UACGGAAGGCAGCAGUGGGGAAUAUUGCACAAUGGGCGCAAGCCUGAUGCAGCCAUGCCGCGUGUAUGAAGAAGGCCUUCGGGUUGUAAAGUACUUUCAGUCGUGAGGAAGGUGUUAAGGUUAAUAACCUUAGCAAUUGACGUUAGCGACAGAAGAAGCACCGGCUAACUCCGUGCCAGCAGCCGCGGUAAUCGGAGGGUGCGAGCGUUAAUCGGAAUUACUGGGCGUAAAGGGCACGCAGGCGGUUAAUUAAGUUGGAUGUGAAAUCCCCGGGCUUAACCUGGGAAUGGCAUUCAAGACUGGUUAGCUAGAGUCUUGUAGAGGGGGUAGAAUUCCAUGUGUAGCGGUGAAAUGCGUAGAGAUGUGGAGGAAUACCGGUGGCGAAGGCGGCCCCUGGGACAAAGGCUGACGCUCAUGUGCGAAAGCGUGGGGAGCAAACGAGGAUUAGAUACC